rnacentral:rRNA from 1 species
GACGAACGCUGGCGGCGUGCCUAAUACAUGCAAGUUGAGCGAUGAAGAUUGGUGCUUGCACCAAUUUGAAGAGCAGCGAACGGGUGAGUAACGCGUGGGGAAUCUGCCUUUGAGCGGGGGACAACAUUUGGAAACGAAUGCUAAUACCGCAUAAUAACUUUAAACAUAAGUUUUAAGUUUGAAAGAUGCAAUUGCAUCACUCAAAGAUGAUCCCGCGUUGUAUUAGCUAGUUGGUGAGGUAAAGGCUCACCAAGGCGAUGAUACAUAGCCGACCUGAGAGGGUGAUCGGCCACAUUGGGACUGAGACACGGCCCAAACUCCUACGGGAGGCAGCAGUAGGGAAUCUUCGGCAAUGGACGAAAGUCUGACCGAGCAACGCCGCGUGAGUGAAGAAGGUUUUCGGAUCGUAAAACUCUGUUGGUAGAGAAGAACGUUGGUGAGAGUGGAAAGCUCGUCAAGUGACGGUAACUACCCAGAAAGGGACGGCUAACUACGUG